rnacentral:rRNA from 1 species
UACGGGGGGAGCAAGCGUUGUUCGGCUUUCCUGGGCGUAAAGGGCGCGUAGGCGGCCACCGCAAGUCGGUUGUGAAAUCUCUGGGCUUAACCCAGAAAGGUCAACCGAUACUGCGGGGCUAGAGUGCAGAAGGGGCAACUGGAAUUCUCGGUGUAGCGGUGAAAUGCGUAGAUAUCGAGAGGAACACCUGCGGCGAAGUCGGGUUGCUGGGCUGACACUGACUCUGAAGCGCGAAAGCUAGGGGAGCGAACGGG